rnacentral:rRNA from 1 species
UACGUAGGCAGCAAGCGUUGUUCGGAGUUACUGGGCGUAAAGGGCGCGUAGGCGGUGCUCUAAGUCGGAUGUGAAAACUCUGGGCUCAACCCAGAGCCUGCAUCCGAAACUGGAGUGCUAGAGUUCUGGAGGGGGUAGCGGAAUUCCUGGUGUAGCGGUGAAAUGCGUAGAUAUCAGGAGGAACACCGGUGGCGAAGGCGGGUCUCUGGGCAGUAACUGACGCUGAGGAGCGAAAGCGUGGGGAGCGAACAGG